UUCGCAUCCUCAUCAUGUAGCGCCAGCCACACCAGGAACAGAAGGGUGCCGGGUACCUUCCGCAUGCUUGGUAUUCUCCCCGCGGGGCUCUGACCGCUGCCGCUCUCAGGCACCUGUCUUUCCUCUCCGUCCCAGAAUGGAGCCAAGACAAGGGAAUAAACGAAAUUCAAUAGUACACGGAGAUCGGGUGUCUGGGCAGCGUCUUGGAAAAACUAUCCACUACAGGUCAAGUGAAGUUCUUCUGCUGAUAUGUUCUGCUACUGCAUAAGAGACGGAAUCUAUGUUGCCUCGACUGGUCCUGAACUCCUGGGCUAAAGCGAUCCUUCUGCCUUGGCCUCCCAAAGUGCGAGGAUUAUAGGUCUUUUUUCCCCCCUCUGCUCCCACACCACAGCAAUCAACAACACAGAAGACAACUUCUGCAACCCUAUCGGGAGAGGAGGGGUUCUCUCCACCACCAGAUUAUUCCUGACUAGUGAUAUAAAUAAAAUCUUUCCUGGUCCAGAAUUGGUGUUGAGCCUCUCAACAAAUCUUUGAGCCCUGAUUAUAUAUAAGGUAUUGUGCCAGGUGCAGUGGCUCACGCCUGUAAUCCCAGCACUUUGGGAGGCUGAGGUGGGCGGAUCACCUGAGGUCGGGAGUUCGAGACCAGCCUGACCAACAUGGAGAAACCCCGUCUCUACUAAAAAUACAAAAUUAGCUAGGCAUGUUGCCACGUGCCUGUAACCCCAGCUACUCGGGAGGCUGAGGCAGGAGAAUCAACUGAACCUGGGAGAUGGAGGUUGUGGUGAGCUGAGAUUACACCAUUGCACUCCAGCCUGGGCAACAAGAGCAAAACUCCAUUUCAAAAAAAAGAAGUAUUGUGCUAGAUAAAUAAAACAACAAAAAUGUGUAUGUAAAGUUUUUACUCUAAGAUGAAGGUUCUCAAACGUCAGUUUUCAUCACAGUCCCCUGGAAGAAUUCUCAAAACACAGAAUGCUUGCCAAGUCAAUCCUAAGCCAAAAGAACAAAGCUGGAGGCAUCACACUACCUGACUUCAAACUAUACUACAAGGAUGCAGUAACCAAAACAGCAUGGUACUGGUACCAAAACAGAGAUAUAGACCAAUGGAACAGAACAGAGCCCUCAGAAAUAAUGCCGCUUAUCUACAACCAUCUGAUCUUUGACAAACCUGACAAAAACAAGAAAUGGGGAAAGGAUUCCCUAUUUAAUAAAUGGUGCUGGGAAAACUGGCUAGCCAUAUGCAGAAAGCUGAAACUGGAUCCCUUCCUUACACCUUAUGCUAAAAUUAAUUCAAGAUGGAUUAAAGACUUAAAUGUUAGACCUAAAACCAUAAAAACCGUAGAAUAAAACCUAGGCAAUACCAUUCAGGACAUAGGCAUGGGCAAGGACUUCAUGUUUAAAACACCAAAAGCCAUGGCAACAGAAGCCAAAAUUGACAAAUAGGAUCUAAUUAAACUAAAGAGCUUCUGCACAGCAAAAGAAACUACCAUCAGAGUGAACAGGCAACCUACAGAAUGGGAGAAAAUUUUUGCAAUCUACUCAUCUGACAAAGGGCUAGUAUCCAGAAUCUACAAUGAACUCAAACAAAUUUACAAGAAAAAAACAACCCCAUCAAAAAGUGGGCAAACGAUAUGAACAGACACUUCUCAAAAGACGACAUUUAUGCUGCCAAAAGACACAUGAAAAAAUGCUCAUCAUCACUGGCCAUCAGAGAAAUGCAAAUCAAAACCACAAUGAGAUACCAUCUCACACCAGUUAGAAUGGCGAUCAUUAAAAAGUCAGGAAACAACAGGUGCUGGAGAGGAUGUGGAGAAACAGGAACACUUUUACACUGUUAGUGGGACUGUAAACUAGUUCAACCAUUGUGGAAGUCAGUGUGGCGAUUCCUCAGGGAUCUAGAACUAGAAAUACCAUUUGACCCAGCCAUCCCAUUACUGGGUAUAUACCCAAAGGAUUAUAAAUCAUGCUGCUAUAAAGACACAUGCACACGUAUGUUUAUUGUGGCACUAUUCACAAUAGCAAAGACUUGGAACCAACCCAAAUGUCCAAUAAUGAUAGACUGGAUUAAGAAAAUGUGGCACAUAUACACCAUGGAAUACUAUUCAGCCAUAAAAAAGGAUGAGUUCAUGUCCUUUGUAGGGACAUGGAUGAAGCCGGAAACCAUCAUUCUCAGCAAACUAUCGCAAGGACAAAAAACCAAACACCGCGUGUUCUCACUCAUAGGUAGGAACUGAACAAUGAGAACACAUGGACACAGGAAGGGGAACAUCACACGCCGGGGCCUGUUGUGGGGUGGGGGGAGCGGGGAGGGAUAGCAUUAGGAGAUAUACCUAAUGUUAAAUGACGAGUUACUGGGUGCAGCACACCAACAUGGCACAUGUAUACAUAUGUAACUAACCUGCACGUUGUGCACAUGUACCCUAAAACUUAAAGUAUAAUAAAGAAAAAAAAAA
rnacentral:lncRNA from 1 species